rnacentral:rRNA from 1 species
UACGUAUGUAGCAAGCGUUAUCCGGAUUUAUUGGGCGUAAAGCGCGUCUAGGCGGCUUGUUAAGUCUAAGGUGAAAAUGCGGGGCUCAACUCCGUAUUGCGUUGGAAACUGUCAAACUAGAGUACUGGAGAGGUGGGCGGAACUCCAAGUGUAGAGGUGAAAUUCGUAGAUAUUUGUAGGAAUGCCGAUGGAGAAGGCAGCCCACUGGACAGAUACUGACGCUGAAGCUCGAAAGCGUGGGUAGCAAACAGG